GGGCGUGAGAUGUUUCCAAAUGCUGGAAGUGGGGCCUGAGUGAAAGAGUUUGGGAACCCCUGCUCUAAUGAGUGUUGUGCCUCUGUGUGUCUGCCGUGUGGAGAUGGGAAGGACCUCUUGGCUGUGUACAGAACUCUGGGGCCUUACAUCUGUAACAUCAGCCUGGCUGUGCUGACUGACACAUUGCAUGCUGGGCUUUCCUCCUGGAGGUUUCUGGGGAUACAAGGCCUGGGAGGAGAGAACCUAUCAUCCAUGGACGUUCAGUUCAGUGGGAGGGGCCAUGAA